ACUCCCUCAUUUAUUCUGCUGAGUUAUUACAUCAUUCAAUGGCAGCCGUUACUCUUCUUCAGAAAAAUCAAUGAAACGUCUUUGUGAAACCAAUUGGAUGGUUUUCUCUACCAUUUUCUGUAUGAACCUCCUCUUGAUCGAUGAUUCCCAGUUCUUCAAUAGCUCUUUUGAUUCUUCAAUUUAUAAUGACUUCUUCUUGAUUGAUAUAAUGAUUUCUUCUUUUAGCAGAUGGAAUCACACAGUUAAUUUGCAAAGGCCUUCGCCAAGUGGCUAAAUGGAAUGGGACAAAGGUUGCCAUCAAAAUACUCGAUAAAGAUGGUGCUACUGAUCCUCCUGAUGUAAUGUAUGUCUCUUGAUAUAUUCUUUUUUGGUAUAUCGAUUCCUUUACCAUGAUGAUUGUUUCUUAAAUUCUGGAACAACCGGGAAAAUGUUCAUAUGACCCAUCCAAGCAAGCAAGAGUUACUAUAAAUUGGCGCACAGAUUCAGUCAGGGCAUAUGGGUACAAACAGGUUCCAACGAAAAUUUCUUCAUUGGAAAUUGGUAAAAGCAAGGUAAACAAUUCUAUGUUACAAUGUUUCUGAACAAAUCUUUUCUGCUAUUUUAAAUGUAUCAAAUGUGGCUACGGACCUAAGGUACGUAUUAUGAAAAUAGAUAGAUGCCUAGGGUUUUCUAUUUCCAAUUUGAUUGUUGUGCAUGAUGUAUAUUUUUAUUGGACAAGUAGUAUGUCAGUUGAAUGGAUAACGCAGAGUAGGUUUUAAGUUAGGAUAAUGGCUUCUAAUUUAGUGUUCAAAACUAAGUUUUCAGACAAUAACAGAGAUGUAAUGUCCGUCAUCAUGUACUUAAAGGAGAUCAAAAAUUGUUUGGCUAAAAACUUACUUUGACUUUAUACAUCCAUCUGUUUAUGAAACUCUGUUUUGCUUACGUGUUUAUCACCAUAGAAGAACUACGAAAAAUAGAACAAAGAUAUUAAUGUGCAUGAUUUGUAUAUAUUUUGUUGAAAUUAAUCAGGUGAACAUCCAUAUGACGACAUUCAUUUAGCUUAGGUAUGUGACAUUCUUUAUUACAUGUACUCAGGUUGUCAUGCGAUAUUCUUUAUGUGAUUUCUUUAAUUGUUAGUCUUUAUGUGACCUCGGUGACCAGAUGCAGCAUGAAAGUAUCUCAAAUCGAACAUAUAUCAUUCUGAUGGGAUGCAAAAGUACCAAUAAGGAGGACAAUACAAUCACAUAAACGAUUUGUGUUUCAUUUGUAUGCGGGAUAGAAUUAUAUCUACAGCGCAAUCGAGCAAGGGCAACAAACAAGUUAACAUUGGGCUGAGGUUUUCUGGAUGUCUAGGAGAAAAGUUAUGGAUAUGACUCCAACAGACUGUGAGGGGAUUUGUUCUACAUGUUUGAAGCUGAUAUCGGUAUUGUAAUCCGGCCAAAGGUAGGAAGUCGGUAUGGUGUAAAUUUUGUUCCUCUCCUCCCUGGCGCCGUGAAUGAACAGAAAGAAUAUGCCAAAGCAACUAAUCAUCUGGAUGGAAGGGUAUAUCUAGAGUUCUUUGGCUGGUCUAGAGUUCUUUGGUUGGCUGGGACCGCAGUAGACCAAAGAGCUCUUAUAGCGCGUCUGGAUACACAUCCAGAAGUAACUCUUUGACUUUUAGAAGCAGAAAAGUCGACUUUUUGUGAAGCAAAAUAUCUGGACUUCUGACUUCUGCUUCUCCAGAAGCAGAAUUGUAUCCAAACGCGCCAAUUCCAGUAAUUUGUCAAAAGCAAUUUUUCAUCGAACGACUUUUGUCCCCAACCCAACCUUACUGGUUUAAAUGGUAAUUUUGAGAAGGUACAUGCUCCUGAAGAAAACCCACACCAAAAGUGUGAGGGAGAGACCAAACUCUCGGGGCAAUGUGGAUUGAGUCGUGCAUCCUUUCUGCUUAUUUUUUGACAUUUUGUUGGUAUAUUUUAUGGGCUUUUCUGCUUAUUUUUUGACAGUUGUAAUUUUUAUUUUGUUGGUUUAUUUUAUGGGCUUAUUUUUGUCUGACUGUUGAAAUUGUUCAUGUCUUGGCAAUAUGGGGUUAUGUAAUAAUGCAAAUUUGACGGCUUAUUUCAGGUUUACUAGGGUUAUGUAAUUUGGGUUGGCUUAACAA